rnacentral:pre_miRNA from 8 species
GCAGACGGACAGACAGACAGUGCAGUCACCCAUAAAGUAGAAAGCACUACUAACAGCACUGGAGGGUGUAGUGUUUCCUACUUUAUGGAUGAGUGUACUGUGGGCUUCGGAGACCACGC